GGGGGGGGGGGGCGGGGGGGGGGGGGGGUGCGAGGCGGGCGGCGGCGCGGGCGUGGGCCUGGCGGCGAGUGGCGGACGGUGUAGGAAUACACGGGAACGUGCCCCGUAGGGUGGGAUCGCUCGGCGCAAGCCGGAGUAAUACAGCAUACGACCUGAGGGUAGAAGCGGGGGAGGCUCGGCACGCGCGCUAUUUGAGCGGCCGCGGGCAGAUGCGCUAGUUGGUGGGGUAAAGGCCUACCAAGGCGCCGAUCGUUAGCUUGUCUGAGAGGACGAUCGGCCACACUGGGACUGAGACACGGCCCAGACUCCUACGGGAGGCAGCAGUGGGGAAUUUUGGACAAUGGGCAAAAGCCUGAUCCAGCAAUGCCGCGUGUGUGAUGAAGGCCUUCGGGUUGUAAAGCACUUUUGGCGGGAACGAAAAGGACUGUGCCAGUACCACGGUUCGAUGACGGUACCCGCAGAAUAAGCACCGGCUAACUACGUG
rnacentral:rRNA from 1 species